AGAGUGAACGCUGGCGGCAGGCCUAACACAUGCAAGUCGAACGGCAGCACAGCAGAGCUUGCUCUGUGGGUGGCGAGUGGCGGACGGGUGAGGAAUACGUCGGAAUCUGCCUUUUUGUGGGGGAUAACGUAGGGAAACUUACGCUAAUACCGCAUACGACCUACGGGUGAAAGCGGAGGACCUUCGGGCUUCGCGCAGAAAGAUGAGCCGACGUCGGAUUAGCUAGUUGGUGAGGUAAUGGCUCACCAAGGCGACGAUCCGUAGCUGGUCUGAGAGGAUGAUCAGCCACACGUGGAACUGAGACACGGUCCAGACUCCGUACGGGAGCAGCGAGGUAGGGGAAUAGUUAGGAACGAAGUGGGGACCGACGAACGUUUUUCCGA
rnacentral:rRNA from 1 species